GUCCACGCCGUAAACGAUGGGUGCUAGGUGUGGGGGGUGUCGACUCCCUCCGUGCCGCAGCUAACGCAUUAAGCACCCCGCCUGGGGAGUACGGCCGCAAGGCUAAAACUCAAAGGAAUUGACGGGGGCCCGCACAAGCAGCGGAGCAUGUGGUUUAAUUGGAUGCAACGCCAAGAACCUUACCAAGGCUUGACAUGGUCGGGAAAGCCGGAGAAAUUCGGUCCUCCUUCGGGACUCGAUCACAGGUGGUGCAUGGCUGUCGU
rnacentral:rRNA from 1 species